CAGUAGCCACGGGAACACCAGCAGCCCAAGUGGUGGUCGCGUUUAUUGGGCCUAAAGCGCUCGUAGCCUGGCCGGUAAGUUCCCCGUGAAACCAGGUCGCCCAACGAUUCGGCUUGCGGGGAAUACUGUCGGUCUUGGGGCCGGGAGACGCCGAGGGUACUCCGGGGGUAGCGGUGAAAUGCUGUAAUCCUCGGGGGACUACCAGUGGCGGAGGCGCUCGGCGAUAACGGGCCUGACGGUGAGGGGCGAAAGCUGGGGGCGCGAACGGGAUUAGAUACCCCAGUAGUCCCUGUCUCUUAUA
rnacentral:rRNA from 1 species